AAAUGACCAUGAUUCAUUUGGCCUUAAGAACUUAAGCAAAUAUCCUCAGUACUUCUUCCCUUUCUCCCGGCUAAUUUUUUCAGUAGCCUGUGGCAAGGAUAUUGUACAGAGUUUUUAAUUAGUUGACAGAUGGAAAUACAUGUUUCCUUUUAUUUUCUUUUAAUCUAUUUCAAUUUUAUGCUUGCUCGCAUAAAAGUCAAAAAUCACAACAAUAUAUCUUGUUGCGUUAAUUAACAGCUGUGAAGCUUUUAGAUUUUACCGAAGUCUGGUUCUGUGUGCGUGAUUUAGCCCGUUUAUUUAGCAUCUGAAAGAUUGAAAUUCUAAUUUUAAUGUGAACUGUGCAAGAUAGUAUUCUAAUCUUUCUCCCAUGUUCGUCCCUAGAUUGACGUGAAUGGUGAGAAUCCGUCUCCACUGUAUACAAGUUCUUAAAGUUGGGAAAAUGGGGGAUUUUUGGUGAUGAUAUUCAGUGGAACUUCGCCAAGUUCCUUGUCAACAAGGAUGGCCAAGUUGUCGAUCGUUACUACCACCACCUCUCAGUCUUGAGCGUGACAUAAAGAAACUGCUGGAGAUCUUAUGAUUUGUUGAGGUAUAAAGGAUUCAAGACCAUAGAAGAAUUGAAGCAUAUGAUGUUUAAUUGCUCUGUGCUAUUUUACAUCAAGACUUGUGAAACACUUCUUGCAGAAUAUGUUGAGUAUCAUGAGACCUGAGUGUUGCAAGAUCCAGAAUCAAAAUUAAUUACUUGUAUCUGCGUUGUUGAAAAAGGAAACUGCAUACACUUUGCUUCUUGGAAUGAGAUCUUUUAUUCCCCUGAUUUGGGUGUUGUAGGUUGGUUUUGCUUUGGAUACUCCUAAGUUAACAAGAUAUUGCUAAUAUUAUUGUAUUAUGAGCAACUGAGUAUUGGCAUUUUGUUGGAUACCCUUCAAAGUUCACUCUUUUAGCACUUCUUUGUUUUUGUAAUUUCCAGAACAAUGAAUGAAGACAAAUAAUAAAAAAUGCCAGUUUGGAAAAGAAA